AUUGAACGCUGGCGGCAGGCCUAACACAUGCAAGUCGAGCGGAUGAAGGGAGCUUGCCCCUGGAUUCAGCGGCGGACGGGUGAGUAAUGCCUAUGAAUCUGCCUGGUAGUGGGGGAUAACGUCCGGAAACGGGCGCUAAUACCGCAUACGUCCUGAGGGAGAAAGUGGGGGAUCUUCGGACCUCACGCUAUCAGAUGAGCCUAGGUCGGAUUAGCUAGUUGGUGGGGUAAAGGCCUACCAAGGCGACGAUCCGUAACUGGUCUGAGAGGAUGAUCAGUCACACUGGAACUGAGACACGGUCCAGACUCCUACGGGAGGCAGCAGUGGGGAAUAUUGGACAAUGGGCGAAAGCCUGAUCCAGCCAUGCCACGUGUGUGAAGAAGGUCUUCGGAUUGUAAAGCACUUUAAGUUGGGAGGAAGGGCAGUAAGUUAAUACCUUGCUGUUUUGACGUUACCAACAGAAUAAGCACCGGCUAACUUCGUG
rnacentral:rRNA from 1 species